rnacentral:rRNA from 1 species
UAGAGUUUGAUCAUGGCUCAGGACGAACGCUGGCGGCGUGCCUAACACAUGCAAGUCGAGCGAAGUGACUCGGAGUGAAGUUUUCGGAUGGAGCGAAGAGUCAUCUUAGCGGCGGACGGGUGAGUAACGCGUGAGAAACCUGCCUUUCACAAAGGGAUAGCCUCGGGAAACUGGGAUUAAUACCUUAUGAUACUGAAUUACCGCAUGGUAGAUCAGUCAAAGCGAAUAAGCGGUGAAAGAUGGUCUCGCGUCCUAUUAGCUAGUUGGUGAGGUAACGGCUCACCAAGGCUUCGAUAGGUAGCCGGCCUGAGAGGGUGAACGGCCACACUGGAACUGAGACACGGUCCAGACUCCUACGGGAGGCAGCAGUGGGGAAUAUUGCACAAUGGAGGAAACUCUGAUGCAGCGACGCCGCGUGAAUGAUGAAGGCCUUCCGGUUGUAAAGUUCUGUCCUUGGGGGAGAUAAUGACGGUACCCAAGGAGGAAGCCCCGGCUAACUACGUGCCAGCAGCCGCGGUAAUACGUAGGGGCGAGCGUUGUCCGGAAUUAUUGGGCGUAAAGGGUUCGCAGGCGGUCUGAUAAGUCAGAUGUGAAAGCGUAGGCUCACCUACGUAAGCAUUUGAACUGUCAGACUUGAGUUAGGAGAGGAAGUGGAAUCCUAGUGUAGCGUGAAUGCGUAGAUAUAGGAGGAUACC